GACGAACGCUGGCGGCGUGCUUAACACAUGCAAGUCGAACGGAAAGGCUCUGCUUUCAUGUUGCGCGGGGGGCGAACGGGUGAGUGAGAGGUAGGCGUUCUGCCCUUCACCUCCGGAUAUGGCUGGGCAACUGGAAGGAUGGCCGGAUAGGGGCGAUCUUUAGUGUGAGGGUUGGAGGGUUUUUUCGGUGUAGGAUGAGCUUGCGGCCUAUCAGCGUGUUGGUGGGGUAAUGGCCUACCAAGGCGGCGGCGGGUAGCCGGCCUGAGAGGGUGGACGGCCACAUUGGGACUGAGAUACGGCCCAGACGCCGACGGGAGGCCGCAGUGGGGAAUAUUGCGCAAUGGGGGCGAGCCUGAUGCAGCGACGCCGCGUGGGGGAUGACGGCCUUCGGGUUGUAAACUCCGUUCGCUAGGGACGAAGCUUUUUGUGACGGUACCUAGAUAAGAAGCACCGGCUAACUACGUG
rnacentral:rRNA from 1 species